UGGCUCAGUUGGUAGAGCAUGGUGUUUGCAAUGCCAGGAUUGUGGGUUCAAUUCCCAC
rnacentral:tRNA from 1 species